AGGGGCAGCAUGAUUUGUAGCAAUACAGAUUGAUGGCGACCGGCGCACGGGUGAGUAACGCGUAUGCAACUUACCUAUCAGAGGGGGAUAGCCCGGCGAAAGUCGGAUUAAUACCCCAUAAAACAGGGGUCCCGCAUGGGAAUAUUUGUUAAAGAUUCAUCGCUGAUAGAUAGGCAUGCGUUCCAUUAGGCAGUUGGCGGGGUAACGGCCCACCAAACCGACGAUGGAUAGGGGUUCUGAGAGGAAGGUCCCCCACAUUGGUACUGAGACACGGACCAAACUCCUACGGGAGGCAGCAGUGAGGAAUAUUGGUCAAUGGCCGAGAGGCUGAACCAGCCAAGUCGCGUGAAGGAAGAAGGAUCUAUGGUUUGUAAACUUCUUUUAUAGGGGAAUAAAGUGGAGGACGUG
rnacentral:rRNA from 1 species